rnacentral:tRNA from 1 species
GGGCGAGUGGUGGAAUGGCAGACACGCAAGGUUUAGGACCUUGUGCCGUAAGGCGUGAGAGUUCGACUCUCUCCUCGCCCA